UUGACUGCUAAUCUUAGAGUUCCUUUGCUCCUGUAUGCUGCACUAAGUAGAUCAUGAGCAGCUUGGGAAAAACAUAGCUGAAUUUCUUCUUCAGCUUUUCAUUUCUGUGGAAGAUGGAAAAUAUAUCUCUUAGAGGGGAGCAGUCCUGUUCUUCCUAUGUGUGCUUAUGACUAUUUAGCACGUUUAUUAGUGUGAUUUAUGUGUGUAUAAUGUAAGAGGAAAAGACUGUCUACAGUACUACAUUAGAUCAAGGGCCUGUUUUGCCCAGUAUCUUGUCUGUGCCUGAGGAAGACCAGAAGGAAAAAUCAAGCAUGCAGUGAUACUUCCCAGAAUUUCUUGAAGAAUUCCCUGAGCUAUAGCUUGACAUCUUCCAUGAGCGUAACAUUCUUUCUGAAUGCAUGCAAACAUUCUGCAACCAUGACAUAACCAGGAAUAAUUGCAUGUAAAAUACCAACAUAUUGGUUUUACUAAGAAAUGACUUAGCUACUGCAGAAGGUUUGGGCUUUCAAAACAAUAAUACAGUUCUGAAUUUUGACCCCAUUUAGAAAGUUCUGAUGUGUCUUCUUGAAGACUAUGAACUGAAGGUUCAAAGACCCUCUGGAAGCUGGAAUUGAUCCUGUAUCCACAGAGACUCAGGCUUCCUGUUUGCUUUUCAACUUGACAAGUCACUUCAAUGACUUUCAGCAAGAGAGUGGUAGAAAAUCUUGCACUUCUAAAUGGAAGAGAAUCCAAGAGCAAGAAACACUUUAGGAAAAAGGAAAGUAGUAGCUUCCUGGAGAAACAUCUCAGAACAAGAAAGAAAAAAGGAGAGGGAAGGAAGGAAGGAAGGAAGGAAGGAAGGAAGGAAGGAAGGAA
rnacentral:lncRNA from 1 species